rnacentral:lncRNA from 1 species
CUUUAUGACCAAAUUACUGCCAGAGCCUUCUAACUUCUCUGCACCCUCUCCAGUCUAGCUGAGGCCCGAGGAAUACAUGGAUAAAUAACAGUAUCUGAGACCUGCUGUUGGUGUAUGUUAAAUGUUCUUUAAAAAGCGUCAACCAUCCCCAACACACGACUCUCCUGAAAGGGAAAGGUAUAGAAAAAGCAUGUGUUCACAGACCGUUUCUCUAAGGAGCAAGCAGCAAAGCCCUGGUGGAUUGAAGCUGGUCGCAUCCUGGUUUGGUCCUGGCAAUCCUUCACAUGGACAGCCAUGCUGAAUAUUUCUCGAGAAGCCAGCAGCCCAGGCUUCACAAGUUUUCUUCAAAGAAUGCACCUGUAAGAAAGAAGACUGGCUGUAUAAGAAGAGUAAGAAGAGUGGUAAAUGCAAUGACAUUUAUCUCUUUCCUCUGCCAAAGUAUUAAUUCAUCAAUAACCAAAAACACUUCAGAUGCCUUCUUACUAAUUUUUGCUGUAUCACAGGGUGGAAGACUGGUCCCAAGGGAAUAAUGGCUACAAUAUAGGACCUCCUCCCAGAAGGCAGGAACAUUGUGUCUGGCAU